CAAAGAGGGCUCUGCCAAACGACAGUUUGCAGAGGAGAUGAUCUAUGAUAAAAACUAGCUUUCCCUAAAGAUCGCUUUCCUAUACCAAACUAAUCAGACCUUGUGAUGAGUCACGCACGCACUACUCCUCCGGAAGUCGCCGGCGAGGUAGCAGAGAACAGACCACUGCGGGCGCGAUGACGCUCCCCACCCGCCGGACCCUUGCCAAUCCCGUCGUCGCCCUCCUCCUCCUCCUCCUCUCCGCCGUUUCCUCGUCUUCCCUGCCGCCGGAGGACGGCAUCCGGAUCAUCUCCGCCGAGAAACAGUUGAAUUGCGUGCAGAUCCACCUCACUGGUCCCAUUGCCAGAGUGAUCCUAACAUUGGAGGUCGAGAAUGCUGCCGCCGCCACGGAUGCAUCUCGAGUUCUUCUCGCGUUCUGGCCCUGGGAGGUUGAGCACCUCGCCAUUGUCAGGGCCACCAGGGUGGAGGGGAAGCAUAGGAAGAAGGCACACGAGCCCCUCCGCGUCGAACCCUCCGAUCUCACGGCGGCGACUCCGAAUGGUGCUUGCCUCUUCUCUGCCCUGCUCAGCACUCAUCUCAAGCCUGGCGAGGCGACCACUCUGGAAGUGCUGUACGUGCUGACGCAUGCCGUGGACCCUUAUCCGGCUGCGAUCGUUGGCCGGUCGGAGUCCCAGCUGGUUUACUACCAUGACAGCGCGGUGCUUCUGACACCCUACCAUGUCCUAGAGCAGGCUACCUACAUCAAAUUGCCGAGCAAUAGGAUCGAGAGCAUCACGAUGGUGGAUCCGACCAGCCGGGCUGGCGCUGAGAUUAAAUACGGCACGUAUUAUAACCAGAUGCCAAUCACGUAUCUGCGCAUCUCUGUGUGCUAUGAGGUUGGUCCAUUUGCUGUUGUGGAGAAGCUUGAACGGAAGGUGGAUAUUCCUUGCCAGGGACACAUCAAAGUCACAGAUCAGUAUAAAAUGAGACACGAUGUUGCUUGGUACAAACGAAUCUUUUCAAGGCCUGAGUGUCCCAGAAUUUGGCCACUUGCCAAUACAUUGUCGUCAUCAAUUAAGGAUCGGCUUUAUUUUACAUUGCUACAAGGGCCAAGGUACGGUUGGCACUGCACGCCGUCGUUCACCGCCGGCUAUGGUCUGCCAUUGGAAGAUUUUCUCUUUGAGUCGGUUGAUGGCCGGCGCUACAUCAACCUUACUUUUGGAAUCCCUCAACUCGAUACUGUGGUUGACGAUUUUGCUACUACGGUUAUACUUCCUGAAGGAUCAAAAAAUCCACAGGCUAUUGUUCAUUUUCCGAAUCCACAGGCUAUUGUUCAUUUUCCGACAAAGUUCUGGAAGAUUAUUUUGUGAUUAUGAUACUUGCCACUGAUGCAGACGAGUUAUUCAUACCAUGAUGCUGGGAGGGCGAAGGUGGUGAUAAAGAAGAAAAAUGUAGUAGGAGAGCACAAUGUUCCGUUCCAGGUGUACUACGAAUCCAAUCCGACCUUCAUGCUGGCCGACCCAUCAACUCUCUGGGCAGUGAUUAUUGUUGUUGUCUGCGUCGCAUAUUCACUAUUUCAGGCAUUUUCCACACAAGCGGGAAACCAGGAUACCAUUUGAAAACUCGUCAUGGGGUAUUAUUUAGGUUGCCAUGUUUGUAUAUAUUUUUCAGAUAAUGGAAAAAACAAUAAUUUCAGCUUCAUCCGUCCUGCAGCCAAGCCACUGUUACAAAGACAUAUGACUUCAGAUCGUGUAGUCCAGUCACCAAUGCAACACGCCAAAAUGCAAAAUACAACAAUGAUCAUUAAGGCUAUGUUUGGUUCUUGAACAAAGCACACCACACGCUUCUGUUU